rnacentral:rRNA from 1 species
UACGUAGGUGGCGAGCGUUGUCCGGAUUUAUUGGGUUUAAAGGGUGCGUAGGCGGCUUUGUAAGUCAGUGGUGAAAUACUCCAGCUUAACUGGAGGGGUGCCAUUGAUACUGCGGAGCUUGAGUACAGAUGAGGUAGGCGGAAUUGACGGUGUAGCGGUGAAAUGCAUAGAUAUCGUCAAGAACACCGAUAGCGAAGGCAGCUUACUGGGCUGUAACUGACGCUGAGGAGCGAAAGUGUGGGGAGCGAACAGG